rnacentral:rRNA from 1 species
UAAGGAAUAUUGGUCAAUGGACGCAAGUCUGAACCAGCCAUGCCGCGUGAAGGAUGAAGGUCCUCUGGAUUGUAAACUUCUUUUAUCUGGGACGAAAACGGGAUUUUUAUCUCAAUUGACGGUACCAGAGGAAUAAGCACCGGCUAACUCCGUGCCAGCAGCCGCGGUAAUACGUAGGGGGCAAGCGUUGUCCGGAUUUACUGGGUGUCAAGGGCGCGCAGGCGGGAUAAAAAGUCAGUGGUGAAAUCCUACAGCUUAACUGUAGAACUGCCUUUGAUACUUUUAUUCUUGAGUUGGGGAGAGAGAGACGGAAUUCCAGGUGUAGUGGUGAAAUACGUAGAUAUCUGGAAGAACACCCGUUGCGAAGGCGGUCUCUUGGUCCGACACUGACGCUGAGGCGCGAAAGCGUGGGGAACAAACA